AUUGAACGCUGGCGGCAGGCCUAACACAUGCAAGUCGAGCGAGCGGCGGACGGGUGAGUAAUGUCUGGGAAACUGCCUGAUGGAGGGGGAUAACUACUGGAAACGGUAGCUAAUACCGCAUACCAUCGGAUGAGCCUAGGUCGGAUUAGCUAGUGGGUGGGGUAAAGGCCUACCAAGGCGACGAUCCGUAACUGGUCUGAGAGGAUGAUCAGUCAAACGGGAACUGAGACACGGUCCAGACUCCUACGGGAGGCAGCAGUGGGGAAUAUUGCACAAUGGGCGCAAGCCUGAUGCAGCCAUGCCGCGUGUAUGAAGAAGGCCUUCGGGUUGUAAAGUACUUUCAGCGGGGAGGCGUUACCCGCAGAAGAAGCACCGGCUAACUCCGUGCCAGCAGCCGCGGUAAUAC
rnacentral:rRNA from 1 species